GUGAUUAGGGGAAAGGAAGCCAUUAGUAUCUCAGAGUAGUGGGCGUGGGAACAUGGAGGAAACCCUAGACUUCUCGGCCUCUCAAUUUAGGGGCCAAGACUGUUUUGUGUUUCCUGAUGCUUCCCAUGCCUAUUGUUCUUAGGUAUUCCUUCCUUCUCCUAUUGGCU
rnacentral:pre_miRNA from 1 species